UCUGCUAUCACUUAUCGAUGGCCUUGCGGUGCAUUAACUAGUUGGCGAGGGUACGGCUCACCAAGGUGAUGAUGCAUAGCCGACCUGAGAGGGUAAUCGGCCACAUUGGGACUGAGACACGGCCCAAACUCCUACGGGAGGCAGCAGUAGGGAAUCUUCCGCAAUGGACGCAAGUCUGACGGAGCAACGCCGCGUGAGUGAAGAAGGUUUUCGGAUCGUAAAACUCUGUUGUAAGAGAAGAACAAAUUGUAGAGUAACUGCUACAGUCUUGACGGUAUCUUACCAGAAAAGCCACGGGCUAACUACGUGCCAGCAGCCGCGGGUAAAUA
rnacentral:rRNA from 1 species